GUAGGGAAUCUUCGGCAAUGGACGAAAGUCUGACCGAGCAACGCCGCGUGAGUGAAGAAGGUUUUCGGAUCGUAAAACUCUGUUGUUAGAGAAGAACGUUGAUUAGAGUGGAAAAUUAAUCAAGUGACGGUAUCUAACCAGAAAGGGACGGCUAACUACGUGCCAGCAGCCGCGGUAAUACGUAGGUCCCGAGCGUUGUCCGGAUUUAUUGGGCGUAAAGCGAGCGCAGGUGGUUUAAUAAGUCUGAUGUAAAAGGCAGUGGCUCAACCAUUGUGUGCAUUGGAAACUGUUAGACUUGAGUGCAGUAGAGGAGAGUGGAAUUCCAUGUGUAGCGGUGAAAUGCGUAGAUAUAUGGAGGAACACCGGUGGCGAAAGCGGCUCUCUGGACUGUCACUGACACUGAGGCUCGAAAGCGUGGGUAGCAAACAGGAUUAGAAACCCUGGUAGUCC
rnacentral:rRNA from 1 species